rnacentral:RNase_P_RNA from 1 species
GAGGAAAGUCCGGGCUCUAAAAUAAUAUAGCUGCAUAAUAGACAGUAUAGGUAACUAUAAGGAAAGUGCCACAGAAAAAAACCGCCUAAUCGAAGACUUAGGUAAGGGUGCAAAGGUGCAGUAAAAGCGUACCAGAAGUAUGAUUAAAGUGCUUGCUAGGCAAACCCCAUAUAAGAGCAAAGUAGUAAACUGAAAUUUAUCGAAAAGAUAAUAUUUUAUCGUUUAUCUUCAUUACUGCAAAGAGAUUAUAUGUAGAUAUAAAAUUAAGAUUAAUAACUACCCUUAAUAACUUUAAGUUGUAAAUAUAUAAAUUUAAAAGUUAUUACGAACAAAAUCCGGCUUAU